CUCUUCACACUGCAUAUAUAUUUAGGGUUUUAUCACAUAGUCAUUAUUUCUUGACACACUGCUCCACUCUCAAUCAUCUUUUUCUUCAUGGAAAUAGGUAAUUGUCUGUGUGCCUGCCCGUCUGCCUGUGUGUGACUGUCUGCCUGUUACUAAGUGUGUGUGAAAAUGUCUGUCUGUAACUGUGCAUGUGUGACUGUCUGCCUGUAACUGUGUGCGUGUGUGUGAGGGGGGCAGAGGUUUUGUAUAAGGGGGGCUGAGCAGGUG